GCGUGUUUUACCGUAUUUUGAAAUCUCUUUAUUGAACAUUGUUUUAAACAGUAAUAAUAAUACAUUUGGGGUUUAUAAGUAGAAGCAAAAUGUCUGCUAACAAUAGCACAAGGGCUGGGAGGUGGGAAAUGGAACCAGGCAGUUGUAAGAUUAUUAAAUUACAUGGGAAGUGAUGCCAUAUUAUUUGUUAUUCUUGGGUAUUCUUGAUAAGUUAAUGCUGUGUAUUGUCAACUCCAGAGCAACCAUUUAUAAAAACAAACAUGAUUCAUACACCACUUACAAAGCUAACAAAAAUGUAAUAUAAACCCAUGCACACUGUGUUCCAGCAGAACUUCAAAACAAUUCUUAAAUGAUGACUUGGUGGGAAUUAGUUACUAGAAUUUUCCUUCAUGGCCUUGCAGACCGAGGACUUCCGCCAGCUUUCGCAUGGGAGAGCGUCCUGGCACGGGGUGUCUUUGACGUGGGCAGACUGAGGACUUCAGCCAGCUUUCAAAUGGGAGAGCGUCCUGGCACGGGGUGUCGUUGACGUGGGCAGACCGAGGACUUCAGCCAGCUUUCACAUGGGAGAGCGUCCUGGCACGGGGCGUCGUUGAUGUGGGCCAUGAGUUUGCACCUUUUCAGAUGGUGGGAAGCCACUCACAAGUGACAGAGGGUGUCACAUGAUACACAAAACCGAAAGGAAGCCCUAAUCCCGGCAGGAAAGGUCUGUGUGAGGAUUCACCAAGAGUGGACGUCCAGGAGUGUGUGACGCCGGAGCCGGUGUGCCCCACGCAUGUGUAGGUGCUCACAGGCACACGCCUGCACGGAGGGCUGUCUGUCCAGGCCACUGCUGUGUGGUGGCCUCACUGCUGCCUUCCUUAAUGGCUGAUAACACUAAACUCUUUGAUGUAUCCAAUUCCCUGCUUUAUUUUAACUCAGAUUAUUCCUUACUGUGCCUUUGGCCAUCAAAUAUUGACUGCAUGAUAACAUUGUACUUUGUUUCUGUUGUCAGUGCAUGACGUUUUCCACUCUCUAGGGAGUUCCACUGCCAAGAGAACACAACUCAUCACCAGAGGAGACAGGAUCGGGGAGGAGGCGGCCAGGCCAGCCCUGGCCCCGGCCACAGGAACACUGGCGUCCCCUGGCUGGGAAAGGACAAGAUACACCGAGUUUUCCUGUGUGUUCAGGUGUUUGUUCCGAGGGUGCGUUAGUGGACGAAUUCCUCCACCUGUGCAUCUGGAGACCUGGGGAUGUCUAUGCUCUUUGCCCCCUGCCAGGGUUGAGCAUGUGAUCAUAUCUCCAGCGGACGACACCAAAAGAAUGUCUGUGACCUCGUCCCCUGGCGACCACGUCUACAGUGACUGAGUGCUGCCGUGGCUGGAAAGCCAGGGUCUGCAUCUCCCAGGACCUCAGGACCUGUGAUGAGGGGAUCCAGAGUGCGAGGAUAUCCAGAGAGCUGGAAUGAGGAUUUUGCUGAGCUGAGGGCUAAGCUUGAAGCAGAAGAAACCACAGUAAAAACACUGGUCAAUGUAUGGUAAUUUUAAAGUCAUCUACUUCCUAUACAUGUGAUUGUUGGCCAGGGCAUUUAUGAUUUAUGUUAUAUUUUAUUUUCCUAUGGUCUUAAGUUGUUGGUUAUACUCUAGAACUUUGCAUACAUGCAGUUGUUGGCUGGGACAUUUAUGAUUUAUCUUGUAUUUUACAAUUGUCUUAAGUUGUUGGUUAUCCUCUAGAACUUCCUGUACAUGUAGGGUUGGCCGGGCCACUCAUGAUUUAUGUUGUAUUUUAUUUUGCUAUGAUCUUAAGUUGUUGGUUUUCCUCUAGAACUUCUUGUACAUGUAAUUGUUGGCCAGGGAAUUUAUGAUUUACAUUGUGUUUUAUUUUAUUAUGAUCAUAAGUUGUUGGUUUUCCUCUAGAACUUCCCAUACAUAAUUCUUGGCCAGGGCAUUUAUGACGUAUGUUGUGUUUUAUUUUGCAAUGGUCUUAAGUUGUUGUUGUUGUUGUUUUCUAGAACUUUAGUGCAUUUCACAGUAACAUAUUUUAGUGGAUGGUGAGGUAAGGGCCCAAACCCCCCAAAACAAAUUGUAAAUUCCAGUAAAAACUAUUACCCAGUAGUUGGCAUGGAAAAGUUUGGUGGCUCCUUACAAAGUUAAAUGUAGAACUACCGUAUCACACAGAAACUCCACUCCUAGGCAUAUAUGUCCGGAAGAAUUGUGGGCAGAGGCUGGAACAGAUAAUUGUACAGGAAAGUCAUAACAACAUCAUUCACCAUAACCAAAAAGCAGAAGCAACCAUGCCCAUGGAGAGGUGAAUGGGUAAGCCCAACGUGGUCUGUCCAUACAAGGGAAUGCUUUCAGCCUCAACAAGGGAUGGAGUUUUCAUACACGCUGCAACCAGGAUGGACCUGCAAAACACAUGAAGUGCAGUAAGCCAGACACAGAAGGACAGAUAUGACAUGUCUCCAUGGACACGGAAUACUUAGAACAGGCAAUUUCACAGACAGAAGGUAGAGUGGAGACACUCAAGGCUGGGGAAUGGGAUGGAGGGGGUGUUGUUAUUGGAGGUGCCGAGCUUAUGUUGGGGAUGGUGAAGAAGUUUUGGGGAUAGCAGUGGUGAGGGCUACACAAAUUGUGAAUAGAUGAUUUAAUGCUCCUUCAUCGUCUGCUGAAAAACGGCUACAACGGCAAGCAUUCUAUUCUCUAUGCUUUACCAUAGCAAAAAAAAAAAAAUGAAUACCUAGUAGGAACUUUAUGCGGUUAUUUUGAAACAUGGGUCAGAUUCUACAUUUACUCUCCAAGAUCACAACGAUAAGUGUUUUGUGAAUGGUGGAGCCAGUGAUGCAGAGAGGACGGCCGACACUGCCCCCCAGGGGCUCUGAGCCCCUGUCUCCUCACCUGUGAAGCAGACGCAAGUUACUUGGAAGUAUUUUCAAGCACGAACGUGCAUGACGGGUAAAAUAUCUAGACCGCAUCACUGCGCAGCCACUAGUCAGUGCUUCCUAGGAGUCAAGUUUGUAGUGUGAACUUGAUACAUACGGACACAAGUUUCUGUCCUGAAGCUUGCAGUCACUCUGGGAGGUGGUGGAUGGUAUUACUGGGCCCGUUUUUCAUUGGGGAAACUGAGGCUCCAACACUGAAAUAAUUCACUUCACCUGGAGUUGAGCCAAGAUUCUCUUUACUCCAAAGCCAGCACUCCUUCUGAGAACAGGACUUUGAUUUGGAUGGACGGAUGUUGCUGGGGGCCUCAGCACAGGGUCUUUGGGCUCACAGCUGGACAUGCAGCUGUUCAGCGGCAGCUGCGGUCUGUCCACCCAGGCGGAGACUGGAUGCAACAGUUUCAGGCGGGGUUCCUCCCUCCCCAGGUGCCUGCCCACCUCUCCCUUACAUGGGAUGUCUCUCUUCUUCCUCCUUGCCUGGUCCCUAAAGCACUUGAGUUUGUGGUUCAUUUUUUAAAAAAUGAUAUAUUUUAUUUAACCCAGUAUAUUAAAA
rnacentral:lncRNA from 1 species